ensembl:lncRNA
GACCUCUUAGCUGCUACAGGCACUGGAGAAAAGAACUGCACCAUACAGGAGGUUUGCUCAGCAUUAACUCUAGGUAUUAGACUGUAGUCUUGCUUUGUGUUGGUCCGUCAUAACAGACAUACACCGCCCAGGUCCUUCAGAACAGACAUACACCACCCAGGUCCUUCAUAACAGACAUACACCACCCAGGUCCUUCAGAACAGACAUACACCGCCCAGGUCCUUCAGAACAGACAUACACCGCCCAGGUCCUUCAGAACAGACAUACACCGCCCAGGUCCGUCAUAACAGACAUACACCGCCCAGGUCCGUCAUAACAGACAUACACCGCCCAGGUCCGUCAGAACAGACAUACACCGCCCAGGUCCGUUAGAACAAACAUACACCGCCCAGGUCCGUCAGAACAAACAUACACCGCCCAGGUCCGUCAUAACAGACACACAUUGCCCAGGUCCGUCAUAACAGACACACAUUGCCCAGGUCCUUCAGAACCGACAUACACCCCCCAGGUCUCCGGUGGUUCUGGUUCUAAGAGUAUAAAUCAUUUACUGGAGAUCAUUCAGUUGUGGGCAUUGUGUCAUUUAGUUAUGGGAGCAGCGUAGACAACCUGGCAGAUUGACAUCGCAGUGUGUUUCCUGAGCAGGCGGGAACAGUCGUCACGUACCAAGCAGGUUCAGUACCAUUAUGAACACUCCUUAAAGCCCCCACCUAAAGCCCUGACAGGUGGUUAAAAGAGUCCCCAAUUGUCCCUGGUUACUUAAGAUGUACUACAACACCAAGCCCGGACUGCAGUACCAGAUACGUGUUAUAGAAU